AUUGAACGCUGGCGGCAGGCCUAACACAUGCAAGUCGAGCGGUAGAGAGAAGCUUGCUUCUCUUGAGAGCGGCGGACGGGUGAGUAAUGCCUAGGAAUCUGCCUGGUAGUGGGGGAUAACGUUCGGAAACGGACGCUAAUACCGCAUACGUCCUACGGGAGAAAGCAGGGGACCUUCGGGCCUUGCGCUAUCAGAUGAGCCUAGGUCGGAUUAGCUAGUUGGUGAGGUAAUGGCUCACCAAGGCGACGAUCCGUAACUGGUCUGAGAGGAUGAUCAGUCACACUGGAACUGAGACACGGUCCAGACUCCUACGGGAGGCAGCAGUGGGGAAUAUUGGACAAUGGGCGAAAGCCUGAUCCAGCCAUGCCGCGUGUGUGAAGAAGGUCUUCGGAUUGUWAAGCWCUUUAAGUUGGGAGGAAGGGCCAUUACCUAAUACGUGAUGGUUUGACGUACCGACAG
rnacentral:rRNA from 1 species